rnacentral:tRNA from 1 species
UUAAUUAAAACCAAAUUAGAGGUAUAUCAUUGUUAAUGAUAGUAUUGACUUAAUAGUCUAAUUAAA